AUUGAACGCUGGCGGCAGGCCUAACACAUGCAAGUCGAACGGUAACAGGAAGAAGCUUGCUUCUUUGCUGACGAGUGGCGGACGGGUGAGUAAUGUCUGGGAAACUGCCUGAUGGAGGGGGAUAACUACUGGAAACGGUAGCUAAUACCGCAUAACGUCGCAAGACCAAAAAGGGGGACCUUCGGGCCUCUUGCCAUCGGAUGUGCCCAGAUGGGAUUAGCUAGUAGGUGGGGUAACGGCUCACCUAGGCGACGAUCCCUACCUGGUCUGAGAGGAUGACCAGCCACACUGGAACUGAGACACGGUCCAGACUCCUACGGGAGGCAGCAGUGGGGAAUAUUGCACAAUGGGCGCAAGCCUGAUGCAGCCAUGCCGCGUGUAUGAAGAAGGCCUUCGGGUUGUAAAGUACUUUCAGCGGGGAGGAAGGGAGUAAAGUUAAUACCUUUGCUCAUUGACGUUACCCGCAGAAGAAGCACCGGCUAACUCCGUG
rnacentral:rRNA from 1 species